CGGAGCGGGAGCAGGCCCGGCACCGAUGGGCGGAAAACGGCUCCGGGGACGUUUUGGGGAGGGUCCCUCGGGGUCCAGGGCGGUGCCCCCAACACAGAUCCUCCCUCGCCCGCGCCUCGCCCCCUCGCCCUCCUGCGCUGGCCUGCCCCACCCCCAGUCCGCGAGGGGGACGCGGGGACCCGGCUCGGGGCCUCCGGGAUUCCCCCCUGGGCUGGGCCGAGCCCGCGGGUCCGCCCCGCCGAGCGCUCAAGCACCUGCUCGCAGAAGCCUCUCCCCCGAGCCGGGAGGGAGAAACCAGGCAGCCGUGACCUUUGAGCCCCUCCCUUCCCUUCUCUAAGAUGGGGUCACAUUCGCGACGGGCGUGGGAGGGUCGAUGAAGUGAUGCGGGGAGAGCAGGCUGGGGUAAAGGUGGGGAUCGGCGGCUCCUGAGGUCCACUCCCACCAGCCUGCACCCCAACCCAGGGGCGCCAGGCCCUUCCCCGGCCUCGCCACGCCGCUUCCCACCUCCCAACCUUUGUUCCUCUCAGGCCUCUGCCUAGAAGGUCUUUUCCAUCCUUUUCGCCCCAUCUGCCUGUCUUGUUGACUGAUGUAAUCCCAGGGCACCUCUUGGUGAGGUUCCUGCAGCACACACUCAGUGCAUAUGUGUUCUCCGUGCAGGAGCAGGUGCAGGAGUUCCUGAUCCCGUCAGGCUCCCCCAUCACUCGACCCUCACCAUCUGGAAGAAGUAGCCUGCCUGGAGUGGUUUUCCUGAACCCUGAACCAGAAUUGCCAGUUGCUGGACCGGGAUGGGCCUGGAGUCCCCAUCUCAGGUGGGAGAAGGUGGCUCUGGUUAGUGCAGGGCCCUUUGGAGAUGACAUGAAGUGCCUGUAUUGGGACUGGGCAGUGAGCGCAUUAGACGUCAAAUGUAGAGUUAAUCUAAGCACACAUAUGCACAUAUGCAUGAAAUCCAGGCCUCCACUGCCGACAAAUCAUAAAGCCAGGCUUCUUUCUUACCUAUCCCCUAGGAGUCAAAGGGGGUAUAAGGAAAGACAGUCCUCGUUGCCCCAACCAGGUUAGGCCUGUACCAGGGCAGACAGGCAGUCAGGGUCAGACAGGACUGGGCUUUUAAUGCCCAAAGUGUAGGAAUAUGUCCUAGUACUAGUAGCUGACAUUGGCCCUGAGCUCCCAAGGACUGUCCCAAAGCCAUCCAGGGGCAGGGAGGGAGGCCCCACAGAGCGGGCAAGAAAGCUGAUCCCUGACAAUGCUCACCGGAGAUGGGGCUGAGCAGGAGGUGGUGAUCAACUGAAAGGCAAGAGUGUCUUUGCAGGACUUUGAAGGACACCGGGAGGCCCCACCCGCCUUUGUAUUGCCCAAGGAGCUGGGUGUGAGGAAGUGUACAACAUUGCUCACCAGCCCUUGGGAUGACUCACCCCUGGCCCAGCCAGGUGGGGUGGUGUAGGGGCACUAGCUGGUGUGCCCCCUUUAAAACCAUGUGUCCUUGAGGCUCCUGUCUGGGCUAUGUGCCAGCACUAACGAUGAUAACAGUCCUGGGCUUGGCCAACCCAGCUGCUUUCUCAUGGAAUAGUUAGCACAAAGACCCUCGAGGUCUGAGGAAACACAGAGGCCCUCCAGUUGGGCGGGGGGAGGGAUGUCUCUGGUCCUGGGAAUGCAGGUCAUAGACGGAUGAUCCCCCUUGGCAAGCACACAGCCUUUGUUCCUCUGCCUACUUAAACAAGCUUCUCUUGGGGGGCAGUAGCCGUGCACAGAUCUAUGUCCAGCUGGCUGCCCCGGGACUCUCUCCCUGUACGUAAGUCCCAAUAAAUCUGCACGUCUUGCCUGCUGUCUCUGGGUCAUUUCUUCCGUCUCUUGGUACGGUACCCUGCUGCCUUAGCCCAGCUGGGCAUGUGGACCUACAAGUGGGAGAAAGGAGCCAACAAUAGGAUCUCCAUAGAGGGGUUGGUGCUGUGUUGGGGACUUUUGGGCACCAUGUGUGAUGCUCUCUGCAGCCCAGGAAGGGUGGGGUGUUAGAAAAAUUCAUUUUUAAACUGUCAAAAUAGCUUUAUUGGGUUUUCUGAUUAUUUAAAGAACAUGUGCUUGGUGUAGCCAUUUCAAGUUUAUAAAAAUAAGUGUAAAGAAGCAAGUAGAAGUCCUGCAUCUCGAAUCCUUAAUGCCAAAUGAAUGGCUGCCUUCCUGUCCUGCAUCUCUUCGUGCAGCAGUCCAAGUGCACAGAAUCAUGGCGUAGCGGCACUGUGGGUGAUGGAAUGGAAAGAAAGGAGCCUGGACUGCCAACCUCGGACUUGUUUUACAUAAGAGCAAGAAAACAUCUCUCUUUUCUCAGCCAUUGUUAUUUGAAGGGGUUUCUGUAUAUAAAGCUGAACUUAAUCAUUACAAAUUCAAGGACAGACCCUUAGAAGCUGGAUUGCUGGGUCAGCAUUACUGCAAAUGUAUAUUUUUGUAAACCUGUAGAAUUAAAAUUUUAGUUUUAAAAUUAAAA